UCUGGGGUACAUGGUUUCCUAAUCACCACCUCUGAGGGAGUACCAACACUCCAGCUAUUCCAAAGGACCCUCAAUAAGCUAUUACAUUCCCCAAGGGCCCCCAUUCAUAAAGGCCACAGUAUGCAAACUCCUGGUUUCCAUUAUGAGCUGUCACCUCCUACGUAGAAUCGAACUGCCGCACACUGCCUUGGGCCCUGGCCACACAGCAGCCACAAGCCCUCUGGGAGACCCUCCUUGGAGCCCUGUGGAAACAGACACAAAACAUCCCUUCUGGUCUCCAAUCUGCAAAGCUACAGAUUCUAGAAAAUUGUUAAAAAUCAUCACAAAUAAGGCCUCCUUGUGGUGUGUCCACACAACAGAAUACUCUUCAGCAAUAAAGAGGAACAAACUGCUGGUCCUAUGUAAAAAUAUGGACGCAUCUCAGAAUAAUUCCACAGAGUGAAAGAAGCCAGCUAAAAAGGACUGCAGACAAUGUGGCUGUCUACAAACCGAAGAAAACAAUUUAUAGUUCGCAGAGCAGACCAGUAGCUGCCUGGGGCACAGGGCAGGAGGGAGAGGUUAUGAAGGGACACUAGGUGAAUUUCAGACAUGAUGGGCAUGUUUAUUAUCUUAAUUGUGUAAUUGUUUCACGAGCAUAUCCUUAUGCGAAACUGGACACACUGGACAUCUGAGGUAUGUGUUCACACACCUCAGGAUACGUGUUGAAGUACCAUGAAUUGUAAUUCAGGGGAAGAGAUACAAGGACAGAAUUUGAGGCAAUGACCUACAUGUGUAUAAAAUUUGGGGCAUUCUAGAUUCAGAAAAAAGAUCACAACCUAAUUGUUGAACCUCCUACCUAUGUGACAAUGGGCAGUUGUGUGCCUUUCCAAACUUAAGCUCCUGCAUUUGUAAAAUGGGGGAAAUAACAAUAAUAAGUUCCUGGGAGGGGUUUUUGCAUAGAUUUAUUCAUCUUUGCAGGCCUGCAAGGAUUAAGUGAGCCCAUAAAGGUAGUUAACAUUGAACGUAGUAGUGUAGCCAGCACAUAAGAAGCGUUCACCACUGUUAUGACACAUGUAUAUACCAGAGCUUGUAUGGAUAUAUGCUUGUGCACGUCAAUUUUUACUUAAACAUAUAAUGCACUGCAGUCCUACAUAGUAUAGGAUGACAGUGAAAUCAGAAGACACAUGAAUCAAGCUACAGAAAAAGUACUUUUAUUAUUACUGUGAUUUCUUUCCCAAACACUGUCUUAUUUUGACAGCUACACAAGGGACCACUUUCAGCCCCAUUUUCUGUAGCUAAGAAAACAGAAGAAUUGGUUUAACAGACUCAGGAAUCCUUUUUCCUUCCAGGGAGAUGCAAGAAGCCAGUUAGACACCAUUAGCUGAGUCUAUGUUUUAUUGUUAUGUGGAAGAGUGAUUAAAUAGGCUAAGGAAAAAAUUUAGAAAGUGUACCAAGUUGGAGUUUCAGCAAAACGCCCAAGGAAAUUGUAUGGAGGAAAAAAAAAAAUACACAAAUCUAUGUACUGAAAAUCUGUGGAAAUUUCUGAUCUUUUAAGCGUAGAAGUUCCCCCAAGAGCGGCAGAGAAUGUUAUGUAAAUGUGACUGGUUUUUAACAUAAAGAAAGUGAUUUAUGUGAAGAGCAUGUUUUUCUGCAAAUCAUUGUUCAUACACCUCUCUUCUCUGCUCAGCUACCACAAGCAGGAGGUUCCCCAGGAGUUCGUGGCAGAUCAGACUUGAUGCUUAAAAUACACUAUUUCUGAAGAAAGCUGUGGUCUGAGCAAAGGUGUGACAUACAGGAAGCCGCUGUUACAAUUUGGUCUGGGCCACAUUUGUUUUACAAGUUAGGUAUCUGUGCAAACUUCAUUUGUCAGACUGAAUCGUGUUAGAAACAAGGAAAUAAUCACCAAUGAAAGUAAUGAAAAGCUCAAGCCUCAGGGGCUGCACGGCAUGCGGUGCUAAAGGACUUCUAAAGUUGACCAACCCAUGAAACAUAGAGCUUGAAGUCUUAGCAUAAUCACGGUAAUGAGACCAUCUAUCAAGAGAACAUUCCUUUCCUUGAAAAUAAAAAUUUCCCUAAAAACAAGUUCUUGCCCAACAGAUAACAUAUGUUGCUCAUACAUUCAUUAUUCCUAAGGUCCCAACCA
ensembl:lincRNA